AGUGAACGCUGGCGGUAGGCCUAACACAUGCAAGUCGAACGGCAGCACAGUAAGAGCUUGCUCUUACGGGUGGCGAGUGGCGGACGGGUGAGGAAUACAUCGGAAUCUACUUUUUCGUGGGGGAUAACGUAGGGAAACUUACGCUAAUACCGCAUACGACCUACGGGUGAAAGCAGGGGAGCUUCGGACCUUGCGCGAUUGAAUGAGCCGAUGUCGGAUUAGCUAGUUGGCGGGGUAAAGGCCCACCAAGGCGACGAUCCGUAGCUGGUCUGAGAGGAUGAACAGCCACAGUGGAACUGAGACACGGUCCAGACUCCUACGGGAGGCAGAGGUGGGGAAUAUUGGCAACUGGGCGCAAGCCUGAUCCAGCCAUACCGCGUGGGUGAAGAAGGCCUUCGGGUUGUAAAGCCCUUUUGUUGGGAAAGAAAAGCAGCAGGUUAAUCCCCCGCUGUUCUGACGGUACCCAAAGAAUAAGCACCGGCUAACUUCGUG
rnacentral:rRNA from 1 species